UGCUCUAAAACAGGGAGAGAGAGAAUCACAUAAAGGGCCACACAUGUAUAGUUUAUUGACAAGCUUUUCUUUAAGUAAAAAAGUUUUUGACCGUAUUGCAUGUCUCAUAUGGUCUUUCACAUACAAUUUGGUCUGCAUUAAGCCCUAAAAAAGUCAGCAAAGAAGUGCCUUAACCAUCCCCGGAUUUAGCGA